GACGAACGCUGGCGGCGUGCUUAACACAUGCAAGUCGAGCGGUAAGGCCCUUUCGGGGGUACACGAGCGGCGAACGGGUGAGUAACACGUGGGUGACCUGCCCUCAGCUCUGGGAUAAGCCUGGGAAACCGGGUCUAAUACUGGAUAUGACUCCAUGACGCAUGUUGUGGGGUGGAAAGCCUUGUGCGGCUGAGGAUGGGCCCGCGGCCUAUCAGCUUGUUGGUGGGGUGANGGCCUACCAAGGCGACGACGGGUAGCCGGCCUGAGAGGGCGACCGGCCACACUGGGACUGAGACACGGCCCAGACUCCUACGGGAGGCAGCAGUGGGGAAUCUUGCGCAAUGGGCGAAAGCCUGACGCAGCGACGCCGCGUGAGGGAUGACGGCCUGGUGUAACGUACUUCUACNCUCCGACGACGACGAGAGUGACGGUAGGAGACGAGAAG
rnacentral:rRNA from 1 species